UGUUCAAUUGGAUCAAGAAGCAACAGUUCCAUUGCCAACAACUAUGACAUCAAGAACUUACAUUUGAAAUCUCUGCCUGGUUAUCUCUCACUCUUUAACAAGCAAGGCAAUCAACCCUUCAUGCCAGUGAUGAAGUAGAGAAGCUUUUGCUCUGUUUUAGAGUAGGUCUCAGUAUGGAACAUGUCUUGUUCAAUUGGAUCAGAGAAGCAUUGUCAACAACAAUGGCAUCAAGAAAUCAUUGUUUGAGAUCUC